CUGGAUAACAAAACAAUGUUAAUAAAUUGAUUCCGCUUCUGGGUUACACACCGAUUCCGAAAUUUUUCAAGGUGUGCGGUAUUUCCCGCGGUUAUUUUUGGCAAGCAAUCUCCAUGUCAAUGUGAUAACAGUCCAUAUGAAACUGACAGACUGAGAGUCUGUGUACUGUACAAUGACGGAACUGUAGAAGUAAAAAAAAAGUUCUGUCUCGGGUCUACUGUACUGUGUACUUGUGACUUUAAAAAUAUGCAGUGCAGGGAUACAGCAAGUUCCCAAGUUCUUAGUUAAUGAACAGAGAAAAUUGUUGAGGAGCUCAUUGGGGAAAAAAAAGAAAUUAACAAAGGAAAUGUACUUUUUCAAUAAGGAGAAGAAGUAAAAGCAGCAGGGAAAAUUGACACAGAGUGAUACAUCUUCUAUGAAUAAAAAGAGGAAAUAAGUGUCUGCAGCAGUAAAUCAUUAUAACAACAAGACUGUGAAAAGACGAUAUCAGAACAUGAAAUGAGUUUUAUUUCUUUUAAAAAGAAUUGUUACGGAAUAUACCUCUUGUGAUUCUAAUGAAAACCAUUGUCAACUUGAAGUAAAGGAAGAUUUUAUAAUUUGAUAGAACAGGAAAUAAAGGAAGACUCAUUUAGAGCAUAACAAAGCACAAUGUAUAUUUCUAAUUAGUUUGUUAAUUCAGAAUAACCCUGGUGAAGGAAUUAUAGUUUACAGUAAACAACAUACAAUACACUUACAAUUUCAUGUUUUGCAA